GAUGAAGAACGCAGCGAAAUGCGAUAAGUAAUGUGAAUUGCAGAAUUCAGUGAAUCAUCGAAUCUUUGAACGCACAUUGCGCCCGCCAGUAUUCUGGCGGGCAUGCCUGUUCGAGCGUCAUUACAACCCUCAGGCCCCCGGGCCUGGCGUUGGGGAUCGGCGGAAGCCCCCUGCGGGCACACCGCCGUCCCCCAAAUACAGUGGCGGUCCCGCCGCAGCUUCCAUUGCGUAGUAGCUAACACCUCGCAACUGGAGAGCGGCGCGGCCACGCCGUAAAACACCCAACUUCUGAAUGUUGACCUCGAAUCAGGUAGGAAUACCCGCUGAACUUAAGCAUAUCAAUAAGCGGAGGA
rnacentral:misc_RNA from 1 species